rnacentral:rRNA from 1 species
CUCCACGUCCAUACCAGGAUGAAAACACCCGUUCUCGUCCGAUCACGGAAGUUAAGCAUCGUCGGGCCGGGAUAGUACUUGGUUGUCGAAC